UAGAGAUUCUUCAGUUAUUUUAGAGUUUAUGUUAGUCAAAACUAGUAUUUUUCUGAAAGGUCAUAAAACAUUACUACAGCAAGAUCAAGUAGAUGAUCAUUUUUUUCCCUCUCAAAUCAACAGAUAUCUUGUGCUUGUGGUUUUCACCCAGAAGUGACACAGUCCUCUCAGAACCAAUUCCAGGAAUCCACGUGUUAUCAAAGAGCUGUGGGCUUUUUCUUUUUCUGACAUUCAUAAAAUACUCGCCCACAUCGGAGAUCAAAUAACUCAGGACCUUGCACUUGCAAGUCAGGUAAGGCUCCCCUGAGCAAAAUCCCCAACCCUAUAAAAUGUUUUCCUAAUUUGUUAGUACUAGCAAAACAUUCUUUCUCACUGCUAUUUUCUGUUUAAGGUUUCAGAAGUAGAGAAUUGAUAGAAAAAUAC
rnacentral:lncRNA from 1 species